GGAGGGAUACCAAAGUGGCCAAAUGGGGCGGACUGUAAAUCCGCUGGCUUUGCCUUCGUAGGUUCGAAUCCUACUCCCUCCACCA
rnacentral:tRNA from 3 species